GACAUAGGUCGCAAACGUUAUCCGGAAUUAUUGGCGUAAAGGAUGCGUAGCUGGUUUAGUAAGUUACUGGUGGGAAAUCGAGGCUCAACCUCGUGGAAGUCAGUAAUACUGCUGAACUUGAGUGCAGGAGAGGUUAACGGAACUUUAUGUGGAGCGGUAAAAUGCGUAGAUAUAUGAAAGAACAUCAAUGUGGCGAAAGCAGUUAACUAUUCUGUUACUGACAUUGAGGCAUGAAAGCGUGGGGAGCAAAACGG
rnacentral:rRNA from 1 species